UCCUGGAGGCACACUAAUUUUUCAGUGCCAAAAAGUGAAGAAAGAAGGAUGUUUUCGUCAAUCAGAAAGCACUGGGGGCUUGUAGAUGGCUUUCCAAGGAUUCGCUGUAGAAGGGCUCUGAGAGAGAUUACCAGCUGUGGGUCAGCUCUGGAAAGGAUGAGGCCCCAUACCCACUCAUUGGUCACCUGGAAAUCCUACACGACCAAAUGUUUUCUGUGAAGUGUAUAUUCCCAGUGUGGGAACACAGGGAGUCACCAGUUACAUAGCUGAGGACAACCUCCCUGCAGCCACUUCAUGGUAUUUUCUUUGUUUUUCAUCUUUGAUGAAAUCUUUGUAAAAAUCGAUGGCAAUAA